rnacentral:lncRNA from 1 species
CCUGCGUUGCUACACCAGCUCUAAAGCCUCAUGAAUGGUUUCAAUUGUUACCUUGGGCUGAAUUUUGUUACAACUCCAGUUUACAUACUUCCACUAGAAAAACUCCUUUUGAAGUGGUAUAUGGAAGAGCAGCUCCUAGCUUGCUCAACUAUAUUCCUGGAACUGCUAAAGUUGAGGCUAUUAAUCAGACUUUGCAAGAACGUAAUCAAAUUCUGCAGGAACUGAGGUCUCAGUUACAACAAACAUAAGCUCAAAUGAAGUAUGCUUAUGACCAGGAAAGAGUUGUUGGAGACUGGAUAUAUUUGCAUUUGCAGUCAUACAAACAAACUUCCUUGGCAUUACCAAAGUCGCACAAGCUCUCACCUUGUUUUUAUGGGCCAUAUCGAGUGUUGGAGCGUAUUGAACCAGUUGCCUACCGCUUGAACUUUCCUGCUGGCAGUAAAAUUCAUCCAGUGUUCUAUAUUUUCCCCUUAAAGAAGCAAUUAUCUGCAAGGAACAGACAGAUUCUUAUUUACCAAUUAUGUUGCACAGCUCCAGCAAGCUACAUCCUCCGUCUGUGGCAAUUUUAGACUAUCGCACAAAGGGAAGAAAACAUGACUUACUUGUGCAAUAGCAAGGUCUCCCAGCAACAGAAGCUGCUAUUUGUUAGUUUAAGAGUUGUUUGUGAUUGGGCGUUCAAAAUUUAUAAAUUAUGCAUACCUGAAUCAAUAAAAGAUACCAGAAAAUUCCACACUUAUCUUAUUUGCUGCUGUCUAACAUUUUCUUCUAUCUCUACAAAUUAUUCUCUUGUCUAGUAAAAAUAGCCAGGGGACAAGGAAAAGACGGGCCAUUAAGCAAGACGAUGACAGGGAGUAAAGUGCACAUUCU